GAAGUGUAAUAAUAAAUAUUGGUAGUAGGAACUCCAUAAAUUUUGGGGUAUUUAAAACUUAUGAUCACUCCAACUUAAGACAAUAGAAUUCAAACUAAACUCCAUUGUAAGUUGAGGACUACUUGUAUAAUAAUCUACUAUAGAUAAGAAGAAAGUGAAUAUAUUAAAUAGAAAUGUUUCAUAAUAUGAAGCCAAAUAAGGGUAAAAGAAAUGAAAUUUAAUUGUAAAUAAAUUCAUUGGAAUAUAUAUAUAUAUAUAUAUAUAUAUAUAGAUCAAAGUUUAAAGAAAUGAAAUAAUUCUAAGCCAUAACAACAUUAAGCAUUUGAUUCUUAAUGAUUUUAACAUUAAGUAUAAAAACAAUUUGAUUACUAAUUGGAUUUCAAUGAAGUUUUAAAUAUUCAUGAUUAAUAAUAUAUGUCAAUAUUUGUUAUAUUGUAUUUUUUCAUUUAAAUUUUAUAAAAAAAUCUAUAUUUUCUUUCCAUAUACAGUAGGACCUCCAUAUCCAUUGGGGAUAGGACAUCUGAAACAAUGGAUAAUAGCAAGCACUAUAUAUGUGCAUGCUAUACAUACCUAUGAUAGUUUAAUUUAUAAAUUAGACACAAUAAGACAUUAACAACAAUAACUAAUUAU
rnacentral:lncRNA from 1 species